rnacentral:sRNA from 1 species
GGAACAUUUCAAAAUUCAAAUCGCAAAGUGAAUUCAAUUAAAUUGUGCAAAUUACGAGCUGGAGGAUAAUUGAAAAAUCAAGGCACACACCUGCGCACAUGUGUCUGUGAGAGGGUCCUGUGUGCGCCGUACGUGUGUACUGGUAUCUGUGUGAGCACGCCUUUGGCUGUAUGUGUGUUGAAGGCUAAGCAGAAAAUCAGCAGCCCACGAAAAAGCCAACAAUUCUUGCCUGUUGCAGCCAAAGCGUUAGCAAACAUAGUGAUAAAGACAAAGUGUUCAAGACAAAAUGUAAUCAAUACCAUUAAAAAUUAUACAACAAGAAAUCAACUUAUUAAUCAACCGAUCAACUGGAAAACUGAGCAAUGUCAAGGCAAAGGUUCUCAACAGCAUGUCCCGUUUAAGAUGCGCACAAUUAGCUUAAAACGACAGCAGGACAUGGAG